rnacentral:rRNA from 1 species
ACGGGUGAGUAACGCGUAGGAAUCUGCCCUAAAGAGGGGGACAACCCGAGGAAACUCGGGCUAAUACCGCAUAAUCUCGAGAGAGAAAAGCUGGGGCAACCUGGCACUUUAGGAGGAGCCUGCGUCCGAUUAGCUAGUUGGUAGGGUAAAAGCCUACCAAGGCGACGAUCGGUAGCUGGUCUGAGAGGAUGAUCAGCCACACUGGGACUGAGACACGGCCCAGACUCCUACGGGAGGCAGCAGUGGGGAAUAUUGGACAAUGGGGGCAACCCUGAUCCAGCAAUGCCGCGUGUGUGAAGAAGGCCUUCGGGUUGUAAAGCACUUUAGUUGGGGAAGAAGGCAUGUAGUUUAAGAGAUGACAUGUUUGACGGUACCCAAAGAAUAAGCACCGGCUAACUCUGUGCCAGCAGCCGCGGUAAUACAGAGGGUGCAAGCGUUAAUCGGAUUUACUGGGCGUAAAGGGCGCGUAGGCGGUUAUUUAAGUUUGAUGUGAAAGCCCUGGGCUUAACCUAGGAACUGCAUUGAAAACUGGGUAACUGGAGUACUGUAGAGGGUAGUGGAAUUUCCGGUGUAGCGGU